rnacentral:rRNA from 1 species
GAUUAACGCUGGCGGCGUGCAUGAAACAUGCAAGUCGAGCGCGGUGUGAUGCGGGGUAACCCAACUCACAUCUAGCGGCGAACGGGUGAGUAACACGUGAGCAACCUACCUUCGAGUUGGGGAUAGCCCUGGGAAACCAGGAUUAAUACCCGAUGUGGUCACAACAGGACAUCCUGAUGUGAGUAAAGGCGUAAGCCGCUCGAUGACGGGCUCGCGGCCUAUUAGCUUGUUGGUGGGGUAACGGCCUACCAAGGCGAUGAUGGGUAGCUGGUCUGAGAGGACGAUCAGCCACACUGGGACUGAGACACGGCCCAGACUCCUACGGGAGGCAGCAGUUAGGAAUUUUCCGCAAUGGGCGAAAGCCUGACGGAGCAACGCCGCGUGAGUGAUGAAGACCUUCGGGUUGUAAAGCUCUGUCGGAGGGGAAGAACACAAUGACGGUACCCUCCAAGAAAGCCCCGGCUAACUACGUGCCAGCAGCCGCGGUAAUACGUAGGGGGCGAGCGUUAUCCGGAUUUACUGGGCGUAAAGCGCGCUAAGGCGGCCGACAAAGUUGGUGGUGAAAUUUCAGGGCUCAACUCUGAAACUGCCUCCAAUACUGGUCGGCUUGAGUGCGAGAGAGGAAGGUGGAAUUCCCGGUGUAGUAGUGAAAUGCGUAGAUAUCGGGAGGAACACCAGUGGCGAAGGCGGCCUUCUGGCUCGCAACUGACGCUGUAGCGCGAAAGCGUGGGGAGCGAACGGGAUUAGAUACCCCGGUAGUCCACGCCCUAAACGAUGUGCACUAGGUGUUGGGCGUAUUGACGCGCUCAGUGCCGCAGCUAACGCAUUAAGUGCACCGCCUGGGGAGUACGGUCGCAAGGUUG